CCUACGGGUGGCAGCAGUGGGGAAUAUUGCACAAUGGAGGAAACUCUGAUGCAGCAACGCCGCGUGCGGGAGGAAGUCUUUCCGUGUGUAAAGCUGCAUCAGCAGGGAAUAGAAAAGAAGGUACCUGACACCGAAGCCUCGGCUAACUACGUGCCAGCAGCCGCGGUAAUACGGAGGGGGCACGCGUUAUCCGGAUUUACUGGGUGUAAAGGGAGCGUAGACGGAAAGGCAAGUCAGAAGUGAAAGCCCAAGGCUCAACCAUGGAACUGCUUUUGAAACUGUCAAACUAGAGUGCGGGAGGGGUAAGAGGAAUUCCUGGUGUAGCGGUGAAAUGCGUAGAUAUUAUGAAGAACACCGGUGGCGAAGGCGUCUGACUGGACCGAAACUGACGUUGAGGCUCGAAAGCGUGGGGAGCAAACAGGAUUAGAUACCCCAGUAGUC
rnacentral:rRNA from 1 species